rnacentral:pre_miRNA from 1 species
CUGGAAUAAAAUGACAAGUUGUAUAUUCUAGCUGGAGAAACUGACAAGUUAUAUAUUCUAGCUGGAGAAACUGACAAGUUGUGUUCUAGCUAGAAUAUACAACUUGUCAGUUUCUCCAG